GUUCCCGUAGCUCAGUGGAUAGAGCACCGGUCUCCGAAACCGGUGGCGCUGGUUCAAUUCCAGUCGGGAACA
rnacentral:tRNA from 1 species